rnacentral:rRNA from 1 species
UACGUAGGGGGCGAGCGUUGUCCGGAUUUAUUGGGCGUAAAGAGCUCGUAGGUGGUUUGGUAAGUCGGAUGUGAAAUCUCCAGGCUCAACCUGGAGGGGUCAUUCGAUACUGCCAUGACUAGAGUUCGGUAGGGGAGUGUGGAAUUCCUGGUGGAGCGGUGAAAUGCGCAGAUAUCAGGAGGAACACCCGUAGCGAAGGCGGCACUCUGGGCCGAUACUGACGCUGAGUGAGCGAAAGCCAGGGGAGCAAACGGG